CCUCCCAUCGAAUUCCGGCGAUUCCGGCCACCAACCGGCGUGCCACCGGUCACCAGAGGAGCGCCUCCUCCCUCUGAGCACCCCUGCAUCCUUGGUUUUCCACGAUUUGGCCGGAAAACCACGGAUCGAAGCAAAACCUCCUCCGGCUGCAGUUUUGGACUUUUGCCGAUUUCCGGCGAUUCCGGCCACCUCCGGUCCCCAUCUCUUCAUCGAAGUUAUGAAGACGUGAGGAGGAUUUCCUCGAGGAGGGUUU
rnacentral:lncRNA from 1 species